GGAGGUAUAGCUCAGAUGGUAGAAUGCCAUCCUAACAAGAGGGAGGUCCUGAGUUCAAAUCCCAGUACCCUUU
rnacentral:tRNA from 1 species